rnacentral:rRNA from 1 species
UACAGAGGUCUCAAGCGUUGUUCGGAUUCAUUGGGCGUAAAGGGCGCGUAGGCGGCGGGGUAAGUCGGGUGUGAAAUCUCAGGGCUCAACCCUGAAACUGCACUCGAUACUGCUCUGCUUGAGGACUGGAGAGGAGACUGGAAUUCACGGUGUAGCAGUGAAAUGCGUAGAUAUCGUAAGGAAGACCAGUGGCGAAGGCGGGUCUCUGGACAGUUCCUGACGCUGAGGCACGAAGGUCAGGGGAGCAAACGGG